AUAUAAUCUAGACCACGUUCCUAUCAGUACAUUCAAGUUUAUCGGUAUUACCGUGUUAUAUUACUACACAGAAAUUUGGAUUCUGUGUUUGUAUUUCGAUUAUGGUGUUGGUAGUCUCUAUUUCUUUAUGUUUAAUUGUACUAAACGUCAUCGAACUGACUAAUGCAUCUUACAAGAAAGGUGUGGGAAUGUGAGAAGCAAAAAUUACCGGUGUUCAGAUGAAUCCACCUUUAAUAACGUUCAUUGGUGGUACGACUGGCAACAAUCACCUGAUCGUAUGCACCUUCGCCACCGUUGUCCGUUAAACGUUAGAUCCGGGUAUGUUCCAAUGGUAAAUGGCAAAAAUUUUGAAAGAGGAAUCAAUGUAUCUGCCAAUACACAAUACCUACUUGGAUUCAAUGAGCCUGACCACCCUGAACAGGGAAAUUUAACAGCAGCGCAAGCGUCGGUAAUGUGGAAAGAAUUGGAAAAACACGCCGCAGGGAAAAUCUUGGUAAGUCCUGCAGUAACCAGUCUUGACUGGUUGCAACAGUUUUUUCAGCAUUGUCACAAUUGCAGAGUUGACCACAUAGCAGUACAUCUUUAUAGAUGCGAAGCACACCAAAUCAUGGCUUUUGUAAAGCAAGCAUGGGAUAGAUUCCAUAAACCAAUAUGGCUGACUGAAUUUGCUUGUCCACAUACUACAUCAGAAAAUGAUCAGCUUCGUAUGAUGAGAGAGAUUCUUCCACUUUUGGAGUCUGCACCAUAUGUAUUUCGUUAUGCAUGGUUUGCUAGUAGAUGGUUGAAACAUGUAAGUGAUGGCGCUUGGGUAGAUAUAUCAGCAUCUCUGAUAAAAGAAAAUACUUCAGAACUUUCAGCACUUGGACAUUAUUAUAAUAACUUUAUGCAUUAAAAUUGAAAUCAAUAGUUUUUAA